ACAGAUGCCUCUCAUUUUGGUAGAACUCGUGUCAAUCUUUCUGUUGAAGUAUCAUCAUUUUUGUCAUCUAAAUUGUUAAUGUUUGUUCGGAUUUCGAGCGGGUACAGUAUAGGGCGAUCCGGCUGAUCCAGUUUCCAUGGCAACUUGGCAGAAUAACGUUCGUUUUCAAAUUUGAUACAGUCUUGUUGAUAAGUCUUUACAAAACUCUCCUCAUCGUCCUGUUGUGGUAAACGUAUUCCUAACGAUUCUAGAUUCCAGAAUUUCUCGAUCUCGCUUUCCUCUGCAUGAUGUGAAGUAACAGUCAAAAGAACUGAUGAGGUUAAGGAUUUCUCUCCAUUUCUUAUUACCGGUCCAGAUAACAAGUAACCAAUUUUUGAUGCUACGGCUGUAGGUCCA
rnacentral:lncRNA from 1 species